rnacentral:rRNA from 1 species
CGUAUCACCCAAGACAACUUUACGGAGUUGACGAUUGACGGAGCGAAGCGACGUCAAAGCGUUCAUUAAAGUCGAGUUGGCUUAGGGAUACGUUCGUUGGGUAGGGGAGCGUUCUGUAAGCCUGUGAAGGUGUGUCGUGAGGCAUGCUGGAGGUAUCAGAAGUGCGAAUGCUGACAUAAGUAACGAUAAAGCGGGUGAAAAGCCCGCUCGCCGGAAGACCAAGGGUUCCUGUCCAACGUUAAUCGGGGCAGGGUGAGUCGACCCCUAAGGCGAGGCCGAAAGGCGUAGUCGAUGGGAAACGGGUUAAUAUUCCCGUACUUGGUGUUACUGCGAAGGGGGGACGGAGAAGGCUAUGUUGGCCGGGCGACGGUUGUCCCGGUUUAAGCGUGUAGGUGUGUGUUCCAGGUAAAUCCGGUUCACUUUAACACUGAGGCGUGACGACGAGGCACUACGGUGCUGAAGCAACAAAUGCCCUG